AUCUGUAGUUGUCUGAAGUCGUUUUGCAGAGGCUUAAAGCCGCAUGAUCAGCUCACUGAGCUAGAUAUCCUGCAAGCUUGAUGGGUUUUAAAUGUCCUACGUUACAUUUUAUGUAGAAUAGUGCGUGAUGAAAUGAAAGCAGUAAUGUUAGACCUACAUCCUAAUCUGACCCAGUGGUUAGAUUCUGACCCAGAGAAGGCACACAUCGACGCGGUCCCUGUACUGCCGCCUGACACCGAACCAACCCAUCCCAGAACCGGAGCAGCAGCAUCAGCAGCAGGAACAGCCGCCGCCAGCGACUAUGUCGGAACCGACGGCAAAUCACUGUUUACCUUUAGACCCCAAACGAUUCGACUGAGCAAGGACCAUGAGUUCUUCGAAGAUGGAGAUGUACACCGUCACAUGUACUUGCAGGAUCUGGCUACUUGUGUGGCCGAGGAUGCCCAGCCUGCAAAGGUGGGAGAGUUCUGUUGCCACAUCUCGGGCUGCAGCCAGCUGUUUGAGUCCCUGGAGGCGUACGAGCACCACUACAGCGCGCUGCACCGCCACGUCUGUGCCACAUGCAGGCGCUGUCUCCCCUCCACUCGCCUGCUGGACAUCCACAUCCUGGAGUGGCAUGACUCGCUCUUCCAGCUCAUGGCCCAGAAGCAGAGCAUGUAUCAGUGCCUGGUGGAAGGAUGUGAGCUGAAGUUCAGCUCCAGUGUGCAGAGGAAGGACCACCUGAUCAAAACCCACAGCUACCCUGCAGACUUCCGAUUUGACAAGACCAAGAAGAGCAGAAGGCUGAAGGAGAAGGCCGCAGCGCAGCAGAGGGACUUGGUUAUGGAGGUGUGUGAGGAGGGGGGGGCUAGGACCCAGGGGGAGAUGGUGUCGGCAGAGACCUGUGAGUCCAUGGACUGCGGUCAGAUCCCAGGCCCUGGAUCUGAAGGAGGUCCGACUCGGGCCGGUACGGCAGAGCUGUCCCUCACAUCCGCGUCUCAGAAACCGCGCUACACGUCCAGAGUCCCGCAGUCCAUAUGCUUUGGCCAAGGCUCUGUCCGAGGAUUCAGAGGGAGGGGGUGCAAAAAGUCAAAGUGAAUAUGUGACAGCAGUACAGUACAGUACAGUACAGUACAGCAUUAAUGCUCUUCAGGUUAUUAAAAGAAUGACCCAGGUUCCUGAGGAGCUGACCUGAAUGACCAUCAUGGCCUCAAUCCGUAGUGCCUCUAUAUUCUUUGCAAAAUGCAAUGAAUAUUUACAGAGCUGACCAUGGCCGUUUGAGAAUCAGAGGAAUGGAAAGGCAAUGAAGUGACUUGGCCUACAGGUCUUUUGUGAGCAGGAGCUGGGGUUUCCUUAGAAAAAGCGUCCGUGUCAUGAUCCCCUUGUGUGUGGUGCUACGCAUAUGGAGGGAACUUCCGGAUACUUCAGGGCAGUACGUUGGAUUCAGACCCCUUUUCGACUGGACCGCGUGACACAUGUUCAGCAACAGCAUCCUCCAUGGAAGGUCUGUCUAGCUGAGCACACAAGUCCUGGGGCACAGGAAUCCGCUGGACGGCAUCCCAAUAAGGAAGAGGGUCUUUGAUGAUCUCGAAGAGGACAA